GACUGCCGGUGACAAACCGGAGGAAGGUGGGGAUGACGUCAGGUCAUCAUGGCCCUUAUGGGUAGGGCUACACACGUCAUACAAUGGCCGGGACAGAGGGCUGCCAACCCGCGAGGGGGAGCUAAUCCCAGAAACCCGGUCGUAGUCCGGAUCGUAGUCUGCAACUCGACUGCGUGAAGUCGGAAUCGCUAGUAAUCGCGGAUCAGCUUGCCGCGGUGAAUACGUUCCCGGGUCUUGUACACAC
rnacentral:rRNA from 15 species